rnacentral:rRNA from 1 species
UACAGAGGGUGCAAGCGUUGUUCGGAAUUACUGGGCGUAAAGGGCGCGUAGGCGGCGUGACAAGUCACUUGUGAAAUCUCCGGGCUUAACCCGGAGCGGCCAAGUGAUACUGUCGUGCUAGAGUGCGGAAGGGGCUACUGGAAUUCUCGGUGUAGCGGUGAAAUGCGUAGAUAUCGAGAGGAACACCUGCGGCGAAGGCGGGUAGCUGGGCCGACACUGACGCUGAUGCGCGAAAGCCAGGGGAGCGAACGGG